GAACUUUCCAGAGAUGGAUUGGUGCCUUCGGGAACUGUGAGACAGGUGCUGCAUGGCUGUCGUCAGCUCGUGUUGUGAAAUGUUGGGUUAAGUCCCGCAACGAGCGCAACCCUUAUCCUUUGUUGCCAGCGGUCCGGCCGGGAACUCAAAGGAGACUGCCAGUGAUAAACUGGAGGAAGGUGGGGAUGACGUCAAGUCAUCAUGGCCCUUACGACCAGGGCUACACACGUGCUACAAUGGCGCAUACAAAGAGAAGCGACCUCGCGAGAGCAAGCGGACCUCAUAAAGUGCGUCGUAGUCCGGAUUGGAGUCUGCAACUCGACUCCAUGAAGUCGGAAUCGCUAGUAAUCGUGGAUCAGAAUGCCACGGUGAAUACGUUCCCGGGCCUUGUACACACCGCCCGUCACACCAUGGGAGUGAGUUGCAAAAGAAGUAGGUAGCUUAACCUUCGGGAGGGCGCUUACCACUUUGUGAUUCAUGACUGGGGUGAAGUCGUAACAAGGUAACCGUAGGGGAACCUGCGGUUGGAUCACCUCCUUACCUUAAAGAAGC
rnacentral:rRNA from 1 species